UACAGAGGGUGCGAGCGUUGUCCGGAAUCACUGGGCGUAAAGGGCGCGUAGGCGGCUUGAUAAGGUUGCGGUGAAAGCCCGGGGCUCAACCCCGGGUCGGCCGUGGCAACUGUCGAGCUGGAGCACUGUAGAGGCAGGUGGAAUUCCGGGUGUAGCGGUGGAAUGCGUAGAGAUCCGGAAGAACACCCGUGGCGAAGGCGGCUCUCUGGAACGCAACUGACGCUGGGACGCGAAAGCGUGGGGAGCAAACAGG
rnacentral:rRNA from 1 species